UUCGCAAUGCCCGAAAGGGUGACGAAGCGACGCCGCGUGGGUGAGGAAGGCCUUCGGGUUGUAAAGCCCUGUCAGGAGUUAAGAAAUGUAAGUGCGCUAAUAUCGCAUUUAUUUGACAAAGGCUCCAAAGGAAGCCACGGCUAACUCUGUGCCAGCAGCCGCGGUAAUACAGAGGUGGCAAGCGUUGUUCGGAAUUAUUGGGCGUAAAGAGCACGUAGGUGGGUUUGUAAGUCAGAUGUGAAAGCCUUCUGUUCAACGGAAGAAUUGCAUCUGAAACUACAAGUCUUGAGUGUAAGAGGGGAGAAUGGAACUUCUGGUGGAGCGGUGAAAUGCGUAGAUAUCAGAAGGAACGCCGGCGGCGAAAGCGAUUCUCUGGCCUAUUACUGACACUCAGUGUGCGAAAGCUAGGGGAGCAAACGGGAUUAGAUACCCCGGUAGUCCUAGCCGUAAACGAUGGGCACUAAGUAGAGGGGUUUU
rnacentral:rRNA from 2 species